UUACGUAGAAGAAAUGAUCUGUUGUGACGACUUACAAAUUGCAUAUAUAUGAAAAUGAUUUUUAGAGCACUUAGAUGUAGAAAUGAAUUUUUUCAUAAAAAUGGCAUAAAAUUUAGAUUAAGUUUGUAAAAGGUUGCAAAAUCAAAUCUCGAAGAUUUUAUAAAUGUGAUAUGUGAAUAUUCAUCUUUUAAUUCGAUAAAUUCAUCCAUUUUAUGAGGAGUGACCAAGUCAAUUUUAGGAUUCUAUUGUAUCGUGAAGGAUUUGUUCUUUAAGGAAGUUUGCUUUCACAUUGUGAUUGAAUUUGUCCUUUUUAUGAGAAGUGACAAAGUCAAUUUUGAAUUCUAUUGUAUUGUGAAGGGAUUUGUCUAUAUACUCAGUAAUAUUUCUUUUAGGAAGUUUAUUUUCACAUUGCGAAUGAAGUCCUUUUUAUGAGAAUUGGCAAAGUCAAUUUCAGGAUUCUAUUAUAUCGUGAAGAGAUUUGUUUAUAUAGGAAUUAUAUUUCUUUAAGGAAGUUUGUUUUCACAUCGAUAAUGAAUUCAUCUUUUUUAUGAGAAGUGACAAAGCCAAUUUUGAGGAUUCUAUAUAUCGUGAAGAGAUUUGUUUAUAUAGGAACUAUAUUUCUUUAAGAAAGUUUGUUUUCACAUCGAUAAUGAAUUCGUCCUUUUUAUGAGAAGUGACAAAGUCAAUUUAGGAUUUUAUUGUAUUGGGAAAGGAUUUGUCUAUAUAUGAGUAAUAUUUCUUUUAGGAAGUUUAUUUUGACAUCUCCAAUUCUUUCUUAUUACUUUUUUAUUAUUUUAUUUUCUAAUAGGCGG
rnacentral:lncRNA from 1 species